GUGAUGCCGAAGCCGUAUGGCGAAGUCAACUGAUGUCACGCUUCCAAGAAAAGCUUCUAGGGUUAAUUUAGUAAGUGCCCGUACCGAUAACCGACACAGGUAGGCGAGGAGAGAAUCCUAAGAUGAGCGAGAGAACUCUUGUUAAGGAACUCGGCAAAAUGACCCCGUAACUUCGGGAGAAGGGGUGCUUAUGAAAGCAAGCCGCAGUGAAUAGGCCCAGGCGACUGUUUAUCAAAAACACAGGUCUCUGCUAAACCGCAAGGUGAUGUAUAGGGGCUGACGCCUGCCCGGUGCUGGAAGGUUAAGAGGAGAGGUUAGCGCAAGCGAAGCUUUGAAUUGAAGCCACAGUAAACGGCGGCCGUAACAAUAACGGUCCUAAGGUAGCGAAAUUCCUUGUCGGGUAAGUUCCGACCCGCACGAAAGGCGUAACGAUCUGGGCGCUGUCUCAACAAGAGACUCGGUGAAAUCAUAGUACCUGUGAAGAUGCAGGUUACCCGCGACAGGACGGAAAGACCCCGUGGAGCUUUACUGUAGCUUGAUAUUGAGCACUGGUGACACAUGUACAGGAUAGGUAGGAGACGAAGAAGCCAGGACGCCAGUCUUGGUGGAGUCGCUGUUGGGAUACUACCCUUGUGUUACUGGGGUUCUAACCCGUGGCUAUGAUCUGGUCAGGGAACAGUGUCAGGUGGGCAGUUUGACUGGGGCGGUCGCCUCCCAAAGAGUAACGGAGGCGCCCAAAGGUUCCCUCAGAAUGGUUGGAAAUCAUUCGAAGAGUGUAAAGGCAGAAGGGAGCUUGACUGCGAGACCUACAAGUCGAGCAGGGACGAAAGUCGGGCUUAGUGAUCCGGCGGUACCGAAUGAAAGGGCCGUCGCUCAACGGAUAAAAGCUACCCCGGGGAUAACAGGCUGAUCUCCCCCAAGAGUUCACAUCGACGGGGAGGUUUGGCACCUCGAUGUCGGCUCAUCGCAUCCUGGGGCUGUAGUCGGUCCCAAGGGUUGGGCUGUUCGCCCAUUAAAGCGGUACGCGAGCUGGGUUCAGAACGUCGUGAGACAGUUCGGUCCCUAUCCGUCGUGGGCGUAGGAAAUUUGAGAGGAGCUGUCCUUAGUACGAGAGGACCGGGAUGGACACACCGCUGGUGUACCAGUUGUUCUGCCAGGAGCAUAGCUGGGUAGCUACGUGUGGACGGGAUAAACGCUGAAAGCAUCUAAGCGUGUAGCCGCCCUUAA
rnacentral:rRNA from 1 species